rnacentral:rRNA from 1 species
UAUCCGUUAUGGAAAAUUCAUCACUAAUACUAUGAUAUUUAUAAUAUUAUAGAAAUGGUGUGCAAUUUUUCCAUAUAAGGACAUUGUAAUCUGUUAAUGUAUUAAAUAUUUAUUAAAAGAUCUUAUACAUAAGUUUAUUCAAAUUAGUUAUUUUCGGAUUUCUAACAUAGAAUAAAUGUAUUUGAUUUAAUAAAUCAUUGACAGAUUUAAUUAUAAUAUAGUGCUUAAAUUUUGAAAGAAAUUUUACAAUAAUAUGAUAAUUCAAUUUGUUAUAUUUAUUGUAUGCACUUAUAUGAUUAACAAUGCGAUAGAUUCAGGAUACCUUCGGGACCCGUCUUGAAACACGGACCAAGGAGUCUAACAUAUGUGCAAGUCAUUGGGUAUUUUUAAUAAAACCCAAUGGCAUAAUUAACUUAACUGUUUUUUAAAUGGGAUUAGUUUAUAUUUUAUUAUGAAAUAUUAAUUCAAUCCCGGGGCGUUCUAUAUAGUUAUGCAUAAWGAUAUUUAUAUUAUUUAUGUCUCU